rnacentral:rRNA from 1 species
AUUGAACGCUGGCGGCAGGCCUAACACAUGCAAGUCGAGCGGAUGAAGGGAGCUUGCUCCUGGCUUCAGCGGCGGACGGGUGAGUAAUGCCUAGGAAUCUGCCUGGUAGUGGGGGAUAACGUCCGGACACGGGCGCUAAUACCGCAUACGUCCUGAGGGAGAAAGUGGGGGAUCUUCGGACCUCACGCUAUCAGAUGAGCCUAGGUCGGAUUAGCUAGUUGGUGGGGUAAAGGCCUACCAAGGCGACGAUCCGUAACUGGUCUGAGAGGAUGAUCAGUCACACUGGAACUGAGACACGGUCCAGACUCCUACGGGAGGCAGCAGUGGGGAAUAUUGGACAAAGGGCGAAAGCCUGAUCCAGCCAUGCCGCGUGUGUGAAGAAGGUCUUCGGAUUGUAAAGCACUUUAAGUUGGGAGGAAGAGCAGUAAGUUAAUACCUUGCUGUUUUGACGUUACCAACAGAAUAAGCACCGGCUAACUUCGUG